rnacentral:rRNA from 1 species
GGCGAGCCGCCUCGGCCACCGGCUUCGGCUGGUGAGUGCUCGCCAGAGGACCCUAAACUCUUGAAUUAAUUAUUGUCUGAGUAAUAUUAAAUUAUUAAAACUUUCAACAACGGAUCUCUUGGUUCUGGCAUCGAUGAAGAACGCAGCGAAAUGCGAUAAGUAAUGUGAAUUGCAGAAUUCAGUGAAUCAUCGAAUCUUUGAACGCACAUUGCGCCCUGUGGUAUUCCGCAGGGCAUGCCUGUUCGAGCGUCAGUACAACACUCAAGCUCAGCUUGGUCUUGAGCCCAGCGGGUCACCCCGCGGGCUUUAAAAUCAGUGGCGGCGCCAUUAGGCUCUCAGCGUAGUAAUACUCCUCGCUCUUGAGUCCUGGUGGCUGCUUGCCAGCAACCCCCAACUUCUAAGUUUGACCUCGGAUCAGGUAGGGAUACCCGCUGAACUUAAGCAUAUCAAUAAGCGGAGGAAAAGAAACCAACAGGGAUUACCUCAGUAACGGCGAGUGAAGCGGUAACAGCUCAAAUUUGAAAUCUGGCUCUUUUAGGGUCCGAGUUGUAAUUUGUAGAAGAUGCUUCGGGUGUGGCUCCGGUCUAAGUUCCUUGGAACAGGACGUCAUAGAGGGUGAGAAUCCCGUAUGUGACUGGUUGCCUUCGCCCAUGUGAAGCUCUUUCGACGAGUCGAGUUGUUUGGGAAUGCAGCUCAAAAUGGGUGGUAAAUUUCAUCUAAAGCUAAAUAUUGGCCAGAGACCGAUAGCGCACAAGUAGAGUGAUCGAAAGAUGAAAAGCACUUUGGAAAGAGAGUUAAACAGUACGUGAAAUUGUUG